GUAGUCCACGCCGUAAACGGUGGAUGCUGGAUGUGGGGCCCGUUCCACGGGUUCCGUGUCGGAGCUAACGCGUUAAGCAUCCCGCCUGGGGAGUACGGCCGCAAGGCUAAAACUCAAAGAAAUUGACGGGGGCCCGCACAAGCGGCGGAGCAUGCGGAUUAAUUCGAUGCAACGCGAAGAACCUUACCUGGGCUUGACAUGUUCCCGACAGCCGUAGAGAUAUGGCCUCCCUUCGGGGCGGGUUCACAGGUGGUGCAUGGUCGUCGUCAGCUCGUGUCGUGAGAUGUUGGGUUAAGUCCCGCAACGAGCGCAACCCUCGCCCUGUGUUGCCAGCACGUCAUGGUGGGAACUCACGGGGGACCGCCGGGGUCAACUCGGA
rnacentral:rRNA from 1 species